GGUUAAACAAAGCAAUUAGCGGUGUGUUGAGGCAGACGCUCUCUGAUUAGGACUCCGCCACCUCUCCGCCCGCCAGGUUACCCUCGCGGCGGAGGAAUACAGAUGUGAAGUAGUGCCUUGGACAAUGCGCUGCUCGGGAAAACGAGUUCUAAAUUUUAUAGGUUAUUACUAGUAUACUGAAAUCUAUCUUUAUUCAAAUAUGCAAACUUAUAGUAAAACAUCCGCGCCUAAAGCCGGAGAUAAUCCAUUUGAUAUGUUGUGUUCAGGUGAAGUCAAGGUCAGUGUGAGGCUUGAAGGGGAUAGUUUGGGGGGCAGUGGUUUGAAGCACAGUGGGUUGUGCACACACAAGUUGCUUGGUGGGUCGUCGGGAGUCGUGCCCUGCAACAGCAUCGCCUCCCUUGGCCCCCAGAGGGGAAAACAGCGGAAAGUCGUUUAGCCAACAGAGCUGCAGGACAAAGGGGGACACAAAACCGUAUAGUGGUGAUCGAGAGGCAAAGUUGGCGCGGUGCUCGAGUGUUGUGAAGCUUUUAACUGCCGACGGGCGGGAAGGGCUUGCUCACACCGGACGCGGACGCAGGGUCAGGGACGCUCUCGUGAUGGCACUGUUGUUCCCCAGGGAUCCCCGUGACCUUAGGAGGAUGAAGGACGUGCCGCGGGACCACGUACACGACCCGAGGCGCCUUGAGGCAGGUCACGGACGCGGCCAUGACCACGGCUUUAUGGACUGUUGUGUUGUCGGGCCUGCGGCGGCGACAGGGACGGGAGACAGCAGGCGGCGAUGCUUCCGAAGAUGGAGUCGCUGCGUUUUGGAAUUGAGAACGGGAACUGUGAAGCGUGAAGAGGGAACUUUGAAGUGGCUUGUGUGUCCCGCGGCGAACCUGACCUAGCCUCGGUGCUCCUCCCUUACUCCUCCUCCUGCUUCGCCUCCUCCAUCUCUUCGGGAAGGCAAGUGAUAUGCGUAGCUGAAUGGCUCUCUUUGAUGGUCACGGGAAGUAAGGAACCUCCCCUUCCCUCCUGGUCCAGUAUACUUCGUUCAUGACCGCUGCCCUGUUCAUCGGGCUCGUAUUGUGCAGGAGUUGUUCCAGGACCACCCUCAGUUCCAAUUCCUGCAUGCCAUGGCCUAGUAAGGAGGCAGAUUGCAGCCCCCUUGAAAAUAUCUGGGGUUCGAUGGUAAACACGUGGGAGCCUCAGCAAGAGCGCACAUCUCCGGAACUUUAGCCUCACGCUCGUGAGGUUUGGAAGGUAUUCCGGGGUAAGCCAGACCUUGUUAGACGCCACACGGAAAACAUGAGACGACGACUUCAAGCUGUCAUUGACAAAGGUGGUGGGUGGACAGGAUAUUGAGGUUAUGAGUCUGUAUGCAGCCUUCCCCUUAGACAGUUUGUCAUGGACGUCUAUAACAAAUAAAAGCUGAUUUGGUUUAAACCGUAUUUUUAUACAUCCUAAUUGUUGUGUAUAUGCUCCGAUUGGCUAACUGCCGGGACAUAACUGUUCUACCAUUAUUAUUUACUGCAAGACCAUAAUGUGAAGAAAUGUUUUUGGGAAAAAAUAAGUUCCUUAAUAUGAUGAACCUAACCACCGGCAUCGUGUAAUAUUGAGGCAAACACAACAUACAAAUAUAGUAACAUAGGCCUAGGUUAUUAAUGGUAAUCCAUCUAUAUUUUACAUAGGUGCCAUACAUAUACCACUGUGAACCACACGGAACACAAAUAGUAAUAAUAAUAACAACAACGAAUAGCAUAAAUCCUUAUUUUUUAAGUUUUUCGCAUCGUUUACGGU